rnacentral:rRNA from 1 species
AAAAACAUCGCCUCUUGAUCAAUUAUAAGAGGUCAAGCCUGCCCAGUGACAUUGUUCAACGGCCGCGGUAUCCUAACCGUGCGAAGGUAGCGUAAUCACUUGUCCUUUAAAUAAGGACUAGUAUGAACGGCUUCACGAAGGCUAUACUGUCUCCUUAGUCUAAUCAAUUAAACUAAUCUCCCCGUGAAGAAGCGGGGAUUCAUUUAUAAGACGAGAAGACCCUAUGGAGCUUUAAACAUCUAAGACACUUGAUUACACCUACUAAACUUCAUGCAACCUAUCAUUUUGUCUUAAGUUUUAGGUUGGGGUGACCACGGAGAAAAAUUGAACCUCCACGUAGAAAGAAAAUUCUUUUCUAAGCAAAAAGCCACAUCUUAACGCAUCAAUAUAUUGACUUAAAUUGACCCAAUUUCUUGCUCAAC